rnacentral:rRNA from 1 species
GAACGGUAGCACAGAGAGCUUGCUCUUGGGUGACGAGUGGCGGACGGGUGAGUAAUGUCUGGGAAACUGCCCGAUGGAGGGGGAUAACUACUGGAAACGGUAGCUAAUACCGCAUAACGUCUUCGGACCAAAGUGGGGGACCUUCGGGCCUCACACCAUCGGAUGUGCCCAGAUGGGAUUAGCUAGUAGGUGGGGUAACGGCUCACCUAGGCGACGAUCCCUAGCUGGUCUGAGAGGAUGACCAGCCACACUGGAACUGAGACACGGUCCAGACUCCUACGGGAGGCAGCAGUGGGGAAUAUUGCACAAUGGGCGCAAGCCUGAUGCAGCCAUGCCGCGUGUAUGAAGAAGGCCUUCGGGUUGUAAAGUACUUUCAGUGAGGAGGAAGGCGAUGGAGUUAAUAGCUUCGUCGAUUGACGUUACCCGCAGAAGAAGCACCGGCUAACUCCGUG